rnacentral:rRNA from 1 species
AUGGAGUCUAAGGAUGCUACAUUCUUUGAGGAUAUUUUUCCUAUGAGAGAUAUGCAAAGCACUUCUAGACAGGAAUCUGAGGAGACUCCUGAACCUGCCAUCCCUAUGGAAUAUUAUGAACAAACACAUGAUGAAAAUCCCGAGGAGGAUGACGAGGAAACCCUUGGUAGGGGCAAGAGACAAAGGACUGCAAAGACCUUUGGUGAUGAUUUCUUCGUGUACCUCGUGGAUGAUACUCCCACUUCUAUUUCAGAAGCGUAUGCCUCUCCAGAAGCUGACUACUGGAAGGAUGCGGUCCGUAGCGAGAUGGAUUCCAUCAUGGCUAACGGGACAUGGGAGAUCACUGACCGUCCCUAUGGUUGCAAACCACUGGGAUGUAAGUGGGUGUUCAAAAAGAAGCUUAGGCCCGAUGGUUUCGUUGUUAAUGAGGCUGACAAAUGUGUAUACUAUCGCCAUGGUGGGGGCGAAGGAGUUAUACUGUGCUUGUAUGUUGAUGACAUACUGAUAUUCGGAACAAACCUCAAAGUCAUUGAGGAGGUCAAAUCGUUUCUAUCUCAGAACUUUGAGAUGAAAGACCUUGGUGUGGUUGAUGUUAUCUUGAACAUCAAGCUACUGAGAGAUAAUGAGGGUGGGAUCACACUUCUGCAAUCCCAUUACGUUGAGAAGGUGUUGAGUCGUUUUGGAUAUUCGGACUGCACACCAUCUCAAACACCAUAUGAUCCUAGCGUAUUGAUUCGAAAGUCCAAAGGCAUGGCUAAAGAUCAAUUGAGAUACUCUCAAAUCAUUGGUUCACUGAUGUACCUAGCGAGCGCAACGAGGCCUGACAUCGCGUUUGCUGUGAGGUAUAGUGAUGCGAAUUGGAUCUCUGAUGCUGAUGAGAUGAAGGCCACAACUGGGUAUAUGUUUACUCUUGGAGGUGGCGCUGUUUCCUGGAAGUCUUGCAAGCAAACGAUCUUAACGAGAUCGACAAUGGAAGCAGAAUUAACGGCAUUAGACACAUCUGGUGUUGAAGCGAGAUGGCUUCGAGAUCUUUUGAUGGACUUGCCAUUGGUUGAUAAACCGGUUCCGGCUAUCCUUAUGAACUGUGACAAUCAGACUGUCAUCACCAAGAUUAAAAGCUGUCAGAAAAUUAAGAAACUCCGGAGUGAUAGCGUUGGACUAUGUCCAUACGGCUAA